GGCAUCAUAGCUCAGUCGGUAAGAGUGUUGGCUGUACUAAAGCCUUCCAUUUGCUAGCAUGGGUUCAAAUCCCACCGAGGCCG
rnacentral:tRNA from 1 species